rnacentral:rRNA from 1 species
UGAGGAAUAUUGGACAAUGGGCGGGAGCCUGAUCCAGCCAUGCCGCGUGCAGGAAGACGGCCUUAUGGGUUGUAAACUGCUUUUACAGGGGAAGAACACCACGCAUUGAUGGGUGGCUGCCGGUACCCUGGGAAAAAGGACCGGCUAACUCCGUGCCAGCAGCCGCGGUAAUACGGAGGGUCCGAGCGUUAUCCGGAAUCAUUGGGUUUAAAGGGUCCGCAGGCGGGCAAUUAAGUCAGUGGUGAAAGUCACCUGCUCAACGGGUGAUGUGCCAUUGAAACUGGUAGUCUGGAGUAUCGGGGAAGUGGCCGGAAUGAGUAGUGUAGCGGUGAAAUGCAUAGAUAUUACUCAGAACACCGAUAGCGAAGGCAGGCCACUACCGGAUAACUGACGCUGAUGGACGAAAGCGUGGAUAGCGAACAGGAUUAGAUACCCCCGUAGUCC